CGGACGUGGAGAACCUGCCCCGGUGUGGGGGAUACCCGCCAGAAAUGGUGGUUAAGACCGCAUACGAGCAUCUAUGCGCAAGCUGGAUGGGGAAAAGCCUUUGGGCUGCACUGGGAGGGGUCCGCGUCGGAUUAGCUAGUUGGUGGGGUAACGGCCUACCAAGGCUGCGAUCCGUAGCUGGUCUGAGAGGAUGACCAGCCAGACUGGGACUGAGACACGGCCCAG
rnacentral:rRNA from 1 species